AAUUAGGAACGUUCUGAAUCUCCGCCAGCUGCCUUUUCCACCUGCAGCAUCUCUUUCCUUCCCCGCAUUCGCAUUUCCUGUCUCCGCAGAAUCGAGCCCAACCUUCUUCGGUGGCAGAGCGCCGGCGCUAGGAUGUCAUCCGCUACCUCAGGCGACUCCUUGGCUCCUUCCUUGGCUGCGAGGUGCUCCCUCGCCCGUUGUGCCCUUGGUCGAGCAAAGAUCCCAAUGCCCCUAGCUCCCCCGCUCAAAGAUCUCGCCUCCGCAGCUCACCCCACGGCCUUCGGCGUACCAGCAGAGGCAACGCUGCAUCCCAGCGGUGGUUGCCCAGCUCCGCAGCUCGCCGCGCCCCAACUCCGCCCCGUCGUUGCCCAUUGCUCUUGCAGCACCGCCCCACCAUGAUUCCAGGUGUGAGGCAGGCAUGAAGGAUCCGCACGCGCGACAUGAUCGAGAUCUGCUGGUCACCAUGCAAAACCCUAGGCCGAGCAGAUGGUGGAGGAGCUGCUCCUGUGGGUGGAGGAGCUGCUCCUAUGGGUGGAGGAGCUAGAGCAGGUGAAUGCAUGACUGCUCGGCGAGAAGGAGGCCGCGAAGAAAUUGAGUAAUUUUGCAUUUUAGCCAACUUGUCCCUAUUGUUCAUCUCCCUCCCACUCUCCCCUGCUCCCAUCCAUCUUCCUUCCCUGCUUCCCCAGCUGCUCCAGGAAUAAUCUCAUCAUCAAUUGAUUGGGUUCCUCGAGUCUGCAAUAAUUCUCUACAACUCUCUGUUCACUUCCCAUGAGUAUUGUGCUGACAAAAAUGCCAUGACCAUUGGGCUGAUCGAGUGAGGAUAAGGCCAACAGGAUUUAUAUCAGAUUUGAGAGCUGAAUCUUAAAGUUGAUUUUGAUGUGAAUGGUAUGCCCAAAUAGAAGAACAUGAUUAUUGAAUUUUUGAGAAGCUCCCAUCCUUUGAAUAUCUGUUGUCUGAAAGUCUGCAAUUUUGGUAUAGUUGGUAAAUAAAUUAUCAAAUAUACUAUUUUACCCAGUCCACUUAGACUGUAAUAUUUUUAUUAGUUUAUAUCUCUAAUUGUAUGAUUUCGCCAUUCCCCUAUCUUCGAUUGGUGUCGGCACUUCAUAUGGGCAUUGACUUAAAAGAUAAGGCUUUAAAUUCUUUUUUCCAGCAAAAAAUAAUUUGUAGCCUAUGUGUUUUUUCCAAUGGUCAGGAUGAAGACUUCUACUUGGAAGAUCCUUGUGAAAUGAUAUAUGCUUCUUUUUUCGUCAAGAAAGAUUUGGAAGUCGAGAAAAAAGUCUCUGUUGUGGAUUAGCCAAAUAGAACAUGUAGAUUUUGAUAAACAGAGUAUAUUCUUAAGUCAGUUUGUUGCAGCUGUCCCACCUCAGAUAUGGUUAUUAUGUUACAUCUCAUUUUUUUAUUACCAGAUUGAUAAUCAUUCCCUUUCAUAUAUUGAUUCAAAUGUGGUGAUUUCAGUUUGCAACAUUAAGUUUGUGUGACACUCAAAUUCUUUCAUGCAGAUGGCAUCUUCAGAACACACUGGGUGUCGCAUCCCAUUCAAAGAUAUAUCCAACACCAACAAUGAAAGUGGACCAAUGACAUCCAAUUUGCAGCCAGAUGACAGUAGUAGCAAGCUUAAGUGUGUGCUUGCCAUUUCAGCCUCUCUUUCAUUCUCCAACAUACUAACAGUAGUAGUAAGCUUAAGCAGUUUUUCUAUGCUAUAAUAAAAUUAAUCUGAGGUUAGAGAAUGAAUCUGAAAAUGCUGCAUGUUCUGACCAAGUGUAGUUAGUCUGUUGCUUCUUGCUUGUCCCCAAGCCACCUGAUAAGUCACAAACAUUAUCCUUUAAUGUUUGCCUAUUUCAUUGUGAUAUACAGUCUGUCAAAUGUGCCACACAAUCUUUUGCUUAUUUGUAUUUUUGGAGGUGCUGAUGUGUCUGAUAGUGUGUCACGUCUCUCACACCAUCUUUUGCCUUUUACAUUUUUGCAAGUACUUAAUCUGGUUGCAUUCCAAUUAUUUUGAUACUUUUUUGGAUCCCUGAUUUUAUAAUUAAUUUGAGUGUUCAACACAACAUUGUUUAGAAAGAUGCACUUCACCCUGAUGCAUGUGCUUUCAUCUUCUUUAUUCGUUUUUUAUUACGAGAUAACAGAGAAGGGGAACACUACAUGCUCGUGAACGGAGUCGGUACCAAUGCUGGCUUGCUAUGUGGGGGCCUGCCGUCCUUCUCCGCAGCUGAUGUCGCACCGGAGAUAGAGCCGACAUGACCGAUGUGGACCUACGAACACCUGACAUGACCGAUGUGGACCUAUGAACACCUACUGAUCAAGCAUUGUAGUCCGUCGUGAAGCCCCCGUUGCCCAUUCCAGAUGUAGGACGGGUUCUACUACAUGGAAUCCACUGUGGAUAGCUGCAUCGAUCGACUAAGUCCACUAGGCGUACUCAUUUGCUUCUUCUACAUGGGAUCUUUUACUUGAGCCUGCGGUUUGAACUACAGAGUCUUCUGUUCGCUCGAAGAUCAAGCCUCAUAUUGGAUUGGAUACAGUACUAACCGUAGAAGCAUAUGCCAGCAGCCAAUGAUGAAACACUUCUACGAGUAUGUGAUGAUGAAGCCAUAUGCCUCACAAAUCAAAGUUGGAGAAGAGAUAGGCGAAUCAAAAGUUGGAGAAAAGAACAGCAGCAUGUAAAUUUCUAUAACUACUGAAAGAAUAAAAAUAUCCUUUGUAACUAUGUCUCAUGGAAAGUUACGUUGAAGAGAACUGAGACAUGUAAAUCUCUAUGAUUAAUAAAGAAAAAAGAUAUUCCUUUGUAAAAAUAUAUCCAGAGUUAUGUACUGGGUACUAUAUUACAUCUACCAAAUACUUAUUACACACAGCAAUGAAAAAAUGAAAAUCGUGAUGUGGGUCUUCAA